AUGAUCACAGGUAAAGAGAAUGUUAUGGGAGGCAAACCAGGACGGGUUUUAUCAUGGGCACAACGUGUGAAGAUUGCCCUGAGUGCUGCUACUGGGCUUGAGUUCCUCCACGAGAAGGCACAACCUUGCGUUAUCCUCACUGGCAUCAGGUCCAGCAACAUAUUUCUGUUUGACGAUGACGUUGCAAAGAUUGGUUACCCUGGUGUUUCCUCCAUAGAGGCCCCUGGUUACAGAAACAAUCUUCUUUUGGAUAGUCCCGGUGGAAUUCUCGGAUCCUCUUAUGAUGCACCUGAAUGUGCAACAGAAGGAUACGCACAAUUUUCCACAGAGAGCGAUGUCUACAGCUUCGGGGUUGUGCUACUGGAACUUUUAACUGGUCGAAAGGCAGUUGAUCCUACACUACCCCGUGGCCAACAAUACCUCGUGACAUGGGCUGCACGAAGACUUGAUGAAUGCAAGGUGCAUCAAUGCGUGGAUCCAAGGCUUGGAGGAGAUUACCCACCCAAGGCUGUCGCCAAGAUGGCUACAAUCGCGGCGCUGUGCAUACACUACACAAAGGAGCUCCGGCCAAAAAUGAGCAUUGUCGUCAAGGCUCUGAGGCCGUUGCUACUCAGAAGCUCAAGCAAUCUUGCCGUUACCGCUGAAGCAUCUGGAGUGUGA
rnacentral:rRNA from 1 species